CUGUUCCUACGGGAGGCAGCAGUGGGGAAUAUUGCACAAUGGGGGAAACCCUGAUGCAGCGACGCCGCGUGAGUGAUGAAGUAUUUCGGUAUGUAAAGCUCUAUCAGCAGGGAAGAUAAUGACGGUACCUGAGUAAGAAGCCCCGGCUAACUACGUGCCAGCAGCCGCGGUAAUACGUAGGGGGCAAGCGUUAUCCGGAUUUACUGGGUGUAAAGGGAGCGUAGACGGCAUGGCAAGUCUGAAGUGAAAGCCCG
rnacentral:rRNA from 1 species